ACAGAGAGAACUUCAAGACAAAUAAGAUCAGGUUGAGACAGUGAAACUAAUGAAGAUAGAUAUGUGUUAAUAGGGAGCAAGGUCUGCAUAUAGACCUAGUAACAAAUCACUAGAACCCCAGAGGUUAGAGUUAAUUAGCGAUUAAUUAGG